CAAUAGCGUAUUUUAAAGUUGUUGCAGUUAAAAAGCUCGUAGUUGAAUUUCGGGUCCCCGCGCUCGGCGCUUCAUUGUGCCGUCGUGGUGUCCCUCCUCGCCGUAAGGCGUCCUUUACUGUGAAAAAAUUAGAGUGUUCAAAGCAGGCAAUCGCUUGAAUACAUUAGCAUGGAAUAAUAAGAUAGGAUCUUGUCUAUUUUGUUGGUUGCGGACAACGAUAAUGAUUAAUAGGGAUAGUUGGGGGUGUCCGUAUUGAGCUGUCAGAGGUGAAAUUCUUGGAUUUGCUCAAGACGAACUACUGCGAAAGCAUUCACCAAGGAUGUUUUCAUUAA
rnacentral:rRNA from 1 species